CAUAGCGACUAUCGUGGCAUAUCAAUAAGCGGAGGAAAAGAAACUAACAAGGAUUCCCUUAGUAACGGCGAGUGAAGCGGGAUGAGCUCAAAUUUGAAAUCUUCAAGGUUCUACCUUGACGAAUUGUAGUUUAUAGAAGUGUUUUCUGUUAGUAAGUUGGCUAAAAGUUCUUUGGAAUAGGACAUCAUAGAGGGUGAGAAUCCCGUAUUUGAUCAUUCUUUUCAGCUGUGUGAUACACUUUCAAAGAGUCGGAUUGUUUGGGAAUGCAGUCCAAAAUGGGUGGUAAAUUUCAUCUAAAGCUAAAUAUUGGCGAGAGACCGAUAGCGAACAAGUACCGUGAGGGAAAGAUGAAAAGAACUUUGAAAAGAGAGUUAAACAGUACGUGAAAUUGUCAAAAGGGAAGCGUUUGACACCAGUGUUGUUUUCUCGAAAAUCAAUUACAAAGGGAUUUUGUUUUGAGGAGUUAUGACUUCAUCGCUUGCUCCUUUCUUUAUGUACUUUCUUAAUGCACUUUUCGUUUAACAAGUCAACAUCAGUUUCUUUUGUUGUAAAAGGGUCAUGAGGAAGGUGGCUUUCUUUUCGGAGAAAGUGUUUAUAGCCCUAGUACUUCUAGCAAUCGGAGAGAUUGAGGUCUGCAGCGUAGAUCCUUCGGGGUUAGAUACAUUUGUGCUAAGUUAUAGCUUUUCAUAGACAACUUGUUGACUAUGUUUAGUCUUGUAGCUUACUCGCUUAUGCUAUUUUACCUACGCUUAGGAUGUUGAUAUGCAUGACUGAUAU
rnacentral:rRNA from 1 species